rnacentral:sRNA from 1 species
AUAUUGCACGCCUGUGGGGGGAUGAGAACCCCCGACCGGGGUUCGACAACUGGCGCAGCCAGUUGGACAGACUGUGAGCAAAGCGAACAGGCUGCCCGCAGGGCGAGCGAAGCGAGUCAAUCCCCCCCUCACCGCCA